rnacentral:tRNA from 1 species
GGGGCUGUGGCGGAAUUGGCAGACGCAGCAGACUCAAAAUCUGCCGAUCGUGAGAUUGUAUGGGUUCAAGUCCCAUCAGCCCCACCA